GGAUUUAUUGGGUUUAAAGGGUGCGUAGGCGGCCUGUUAAGUCAGAGGUGAAAGACGGUAGCUCAACUAUCGCAGUGCCUUUGAUACUGAUGGGCUUGAAUGGACUAGAGGUAGGCGGAAUGAGACAAGUAGCGGUGAAAUGCAUAGAUAUGUCUCAGAACACCGAUUGCGAAGGCAGCUUACUAUGGUUUUAUUGACGCUGAGGCACGAAAGCGUGGGGAUCAAACAGGAUUAGAUACCCUGGUAGUCCACGCCCUAAACGAUGAACACUCGCUGUUGGCGAUACACAGUCAGCGGCUAAGCGAAAGCGUUAAGUGUCC
rnacentral:rRNA from 1 species